UACGUAGGGGGCAAGCGUUGUCCGGAAUCAUUGGGCGUAAAGGGCGCGUAGGCGGCUCGGCACGUCCGUUGUGAAAUCGCUCGGCUCAACUGGGCGAGGUCAGCGGAUACGGUCGAGCUUGAGCCAGCUAGGGGGCAAUGGAAUUCCCGGUGUAGUGGUGGAAUGCGUAGAUAUCGGGAGGAACACCAGUGGCGAAGGCGGUUGCCUGGGGCUGUGCUGACGCUGAUGCGCGAAAGCGUGGGGAGCGAGUCCGG
rnacentral:rRNA from 1 species